GGGCCAAAAAUAAAAAAAAUCCCCUCCUGUUUUCCACGCGGGGAGCAAUCCCGCUGCUCUCAGGGCACCGACGCCCCGCCCGGCCGGGAGCCCCAUCCCUGCGUCCCCGAGCUCCCCGCCGGCUCCUCUCCACCACCACGGGUAUUAAAUUCAGUGAUCUAACGCACAGCAUUCUGCAAAUGAGUCUGAAUUGCCAAAAUGCGAAGGGGACAAGUCCACUCUGAAAUACGGUCCCUAAAAAGCAAAUGCAAAGCGGUUUUAUAGACUACACCUGCCUCUUGGCAGUCUGCCCGGCCAUCUUCUUUGAAAAGCUGUCUCCUGGAUUACUACUGCUACCAUCAUCACCGAGACAACGAUGCUGGUUUCCAAAGCAGCUCCUGACUUAGACUACCUGCUGUCCAGGGGAAGGCCUUUCCCAUCCUUGCUGCAAACUGAAAUUUGAGUUCCAGGUUUUGAACAAGAUCAAAAGGAGGCUCUGCAGUUCCCGACAUGCACCAUCAUGAGUAUGUUUGUGCUUGCCACUUGGCACUGUCUUAUAAACAAGGUAAUGAUUUGAUAAAACAUUAAUUUAAAGGGCCGAGGAAGUGCCAUGCUACUGUCCAUCCAGACUUUGUCUAGGAGAACAACCACAUAAGGAGCGUCACCUGUGGGAGAACAGAACUUACUGCCUGAGAAAAAAACGGGAAGAAAACAGUUAAAACAAUGUCUGUUUCUCGCUCGUACCACAUUUUGGUUUCUGACUCACCUCAGACCUGGUUCCACUGGAAAACUUCCAUGUAUUCGAUAAAAACAGAAUUUGAAACUCUGUUCUGGUAAGAAUACGAUAAAAAAAAAAAAUCAAAUUAAUUUUAAAAGCCAUCAGAUUCAUUUCUCUUCUGGCUUGAGUUAAAGCUUGGGGUGUGGAGGAGGGGGAAAAAAUAGCUCCUGUAAUUGAGCUCUUCAGGGUAGCACUCAAAGCUAUGUUCUGCCUACUCACAGAGGUUGAGUAUGACAAGCUUUCAUUGCCCCACAGGGAGAGGAAUCAGCAUGAUCAGGAAGUCAGAAGGCAUCCUGAAUUAUCAAGAAAACUUGUUUUGGGGUGGGGUGGGAAGGACAGAGGAAGAAACAAACUGGUUGGCCAGGUUGAGAGAAAUGCCCAGCAUCUGACGUAUGGAAAACCACUGCCAUCUGUGACCACAAAAAAUAAAAAAAAAAAAAAAAAAAAAGAAAGAUCAAGGAUUUGAGGAACGUAAAGGCUUAAAUCACAAUGGGUAAACAGCUGUAUCAGAGAGGAGACCUCAAGGACAAAUGUCUCCAUCACAGUGCUAAAAGAUGUGAAACAUGUGGAGAAUCAGAUGCAGGUAGAUGGAUGUCCAAAGCAGACUAGAUUGUGUAGCAUGUUUCAGACACACAGACAGCAUCUGCAGGUUGGUGCUGAAAAAAAAUGGUAGUCAAAAUACAAAGAAUGGAAAGUAGUCCAUGGAUGUUGGGGAGAAAAAGGUCAAUUCAUUUAGCUGCUGUUAAUCUCUACCAGUCACAGCUAUGAAGGGACAGACUCUCUUCACACUGAUGUCACCUUCCAGGUCUCAGCCUUCAAUUCCUGCUUCCUGGAGGUUGGCUCCAAACAGAAAACUGUUACAAAUAAUUUAUGUCUGAUGAGAGCAUCCAAUGUCAAUGCACAAAUCUCUCUGUGUUAAUAAACUAGCAAAGUGGCAUGAGAAGCUAUUCUAAUUAUGCGUGUCUAAUAUGUGGAGAAAAACACAGCUGCUCUUAACUCCUCACAUAAAACUGUGAAUCAAAUGCCAUAUGUCAGACCUGGGCUUCCUCCUAGAAGGAAUGGCCAAAAGCUUGCUCUCCAAGGUAAAACUGAUGCGCUAUGGUAUGGUUCAGCUGAAGAACUCAAUCUCUUCGGAGAUGCACAAUUACAGGAAGAACCUUCCCUCACUAAACAGGGAGCAAAGGAUGCUCUAAUCUCUUCCCUCUUGCAGACCAGGUAGAAAAGUCUAUGAAAUGAAUGCAAGGCAGAGAGGGAUGUUUAUGCAUUACAAAAGGUAACUUCAGAAGGUCAGGUCAAUAAACCUGAAGUACAUCAAUAAGCCACUUUACAUUUUAAUAGCCCUUACCCAAAGUAGACUAUUUCAUUUGGAUAGUUUGCUAUCAGAAGGCCAACAGUUCAGCUGCAUCACAUAAACAGCAACCCAAUUAGAGUCACCUGAGCAAUGCAUAGAUACUGUUUAAAUAACUCUCCGAAGAAAUGUAAAUGGUCUUAAAAUGGUACCCUUUGUAAUUGCAAAGGAGAUCCUUGGGUGACCACCAAAGAGAUGAAAGGUGAAAGACACAGCUCUUUACCCACAAAAUCUGCUUCCUUGCCCUUCAAAAUGCAAUUAUAUUGCUUUUAAUGCUUUGGCAUGUUCUUAGUGCUUUUUUUCUUUCAGCUCUGCAAUGAGAUCAGGCUACAGGAAGAAAAGAACUCUGUUAACAUUGCAGUCUCUUAAGGACUGUUUUUAUUAUUCUUGAUUUAUUUCUGACCUCCUGAUUUUUUCUGCUUGACCUUUACAUGAAGACAAGGAAAAUAGUACAUUUCAUCUGCCAGUUCAGUGCAUUUUCUUUUCUUCACUUGCAGAAUUAUAGGGUUUUAAGUGAACGUCAGUUAUUUUGCCCGCAGGCUUUCACUUCACAGCACGAGUAUAUCUGACCUUUUCUUUCCUCGCUGGUAAUAGCUUUGCUUAAGUAAGGGAAUGUUUACCAAGCAAAACCAACACAGCCACUCAGAGUUGUGCUGAAUGACAACGUUUCAGAAGUCAGCUUCCCCUGAGACUCAAAGUUGGUGACCAAUAGUCAGGCAUGUUCCUAGUGCAUUUGGCUUGUUUACCAAACCUGCACAUUUCCCACCAUAGUUCCUUUGAACCAUGAUAAUAAACGGCACACAAGCACCUUCCUAAUUGUGGGUUGCCUCCUGCCCAGAAACUGUUGCUUUCUUUCACCUUCCUUCACCACCAACUCACUCUACAGCUCUAAGCGUGUGGUUCCAAGGCUAAUGCAGAUACUUGAGUGCUAAAUCUACCCAUCUACUGAACCAGAGAGAGACAGAAAGAUAUUAAGGUUUGAGAACCUCAUUUAUUAGCAUGAGGGCUAUGUUGGCAACCUUGAUGGCUGCAGUGUGCAAACCAUUAGGAUCUCCUGCCCAAAUGAUAACAUUUCCAGUCAGUCUUUAGAAACAGCAGCAUCGUUUUCCUAUUCGUACAACUGUGACAACAGGAACUGAAGUCCCAGUUAAAUUAAUGUAGCUGGUAUCUACAGACUAAUAAAAAUUUCCUUAUAAACAAAUUCAAAUGUCUACAAUUUCCCCCACAUAUUCAGAACCUAAACAAUGUUUUCCUUUACUCAAAACAAGACAUUGAACUCUCAAAAUGGCAAUUCCACCUAAAAGGUAUUAUUUGUCAUAUAGACUUUAAAGAAAGACUUGUAUUUUGUUAUUAAAGAUAGUAUUUAAAAAUAUUUCCCACUACAUGUCUCUUUUCAGAGCUUAGGAAAGACUGUUGGUUCAGCCCAUUGCUCUAUUCCCACCCCAUAUGCUGGUACUGAAAUGCCUUUUGCAGCCUCCUCCACACAGAAUAACUGGGUCCCUCUAACAGUAGUUAAAACAGUACAAGAUAUUCCAAACCUCUCCAAGCACAGGUGCAGUAGUGCUGGCACAAAUGUGCCACAUAACAGCGUGGCUAAGAACAUGAAAAAAGCCACAGCGGAUGUAAAAUGGCAUUUAGUAUAAUGUCCUAUAUCUGACAGUAGCCGGCAAUGGAUACCAGCAGAGAGUGAAAGAGCAUGGAAAGCUCAGACUAACAUUCUGCAAUAUUUCAUACCAGUUUCCAGGGAUUCGUGUAUGACGGACAAUUUGAACCACAGUGGGUAUCUUUGUACAUGUUAACUCUCAAAGCAUUUUUCAUCCAUGAACAUUCACAGCCCACUUCUGAAGCUCUGAGAACUUCUGGACCUCGUGACAUACUGCGGUCAAAGAUUGCACAGCUAAAACAUGUAGCAGCCUGUGAAGACAUUAUCUCCUGUUUGUUUUGAACCUGGCACCUGAUGGCUUCAUGACACACUCACCUGCUUUGGUAAUGGAAGAAACAGAGAAAAACGGUUUCAUGUUGGCUUUUUGCUUCCUACUUUGAAUUUUACUGACAUCUAUUAUAACCCUCGUCAUCCAUCAUCUUCUUGCACACUGCAAAACCAUACCCUUCUGCUUCUGGUAAAGAAGUCUCAUAAGGAAGGGAAGAGGCACCUUUCUACCAAUAAAAAUAUGCUGAGUUAAUUAUUUCAUCAGAUUUCUCAGGUUAUAAGCAGUAGUUAGUGCCAGCUACUUUGCAUUAACUGCUUAUUUACAUGCCACUUAUCUGUGGUAAACACGAGGUACAUCAUCCUUUAGGGAAAGUGAAUCAUCACUAAAGCAGAGAUAAAAUUUAUCAUAUAGUAAGAACAUGUACCCAGGCAGGUAGUAAGGAGCAGCUUACACCCACGUGGUAGAUUAGCGUCUUACUUUACCCAUCAGUACCCAGACCUCGUCCAGCUGAAGGGGCCUCAUUUGGAGAUGCUGUGGUAUCAUCUGGUCAAACAGCACACUGACACCCCAACCAUCCAAACCACUUCAGCCUCUGCUGCCUCUUCUCCUCUGCACUAAAGCUCCCUUCACAAUUAGGAAGGCAGGAUGACACGCUUGACAACAAUCUAGUAAGAAGGAGAAGAGGAAUAUGGCAGAGCCUGCUUGGGGAGAGAAGCCAGGUUUCCUAAAAUAAACAAAAAUUUCUCAGGCACCACCCAGACUGGUUUGUCGACAACAAAAGCUAUGCAAAUAAGGAUAGUUUGGAGUUAUAUACUGAAACCUUGACUGAGAUCAGAUAAAAAUAUUUCCUCCUAAUCACAGUCUUCAUGGAAUAGUGGAGUAAAUGGUUGCACCAUAAAUGUGUGGCAAACAAAAUCCACUAUCAAUUUUGCAGACUGCAUCUCUUUCUGUUAAAAUACACAUCUUUGUACAAAGGAGGAACCAGCAUUCUCUUUUAAAUACCCUCAGGGAUUAAUUAUUUUACAACAAAUCACUGGCCCUCCUAUUAUGUGUGUUUCAAUUCAUCACAAGUGCAUCUAUCAAAAGCCCAUCUUGUCUGUUUUCUGUUUGUCACACUGACCUGACCAUUACAUUCCCUUUCUGCCACUAACUUCUCUCUUUCACAGGAGGCUGAAGUAAACCAAUUCUAGAGUCAUCUACAAUGUUACAGAAAAAGAGCACUAAUGAAUGAAGGGCAAGGUCACCUAAUGCUGUGAAAUUCCUGCUAGAAGAUAAACCCAUAUGAUCUUUAAGUAUCAUUCUUGCCAUUUCUCCAGCAUAAGGCAGCUCUCUCCCCACUUCCUUUGUCUGUCCUGAGGAACAGAAAAUUCAGUGCUUUCAACAGCAACAGCCCUCAGAAAGCACUUCCCAUGUUAAUCCUAAAUAAAGUGGACUUUUCCAGUCAUCCCAAGAGACAGCAUUCCUCAUGUCAGUCUUCUAUGUUUUUUGAAGGUUUUCUUAAGUGAUUUACUGCAACUAUUAAAACGUUAAGCUAGAUAAUCCGGCAGUGUUCAACCAUGUGGUCAUGAGUCGUUAGGUUAUGUAGUAAAUCAGGCCAAGCACUUCUUGUAGGAAUACACCUGCAUGCUAAUUUUAAAAUUGUGUCUCCACACUUCCGAAUUUAUGAACCUAUGAGACAUUUCCCAUUAAUGCUUUGCAAGCACAGCCUACCCACAGGGUAGCUCAGUACAGAUCAGAUGCUGUACACAUCAGAAGAAGUGAUGUGGUAAGGGCAACUUACAACCUUAAAUAUGAUUAUCAGUCCACACCAGCAGCUAAUUGAAGUUCUCUUAUCUUUCCCAUUCUUAGUGUUCAUACAGAAUACCACCUGCUAGGCCACUAGAGUCAUAUAGUUUGGUGUCACAGAAAUGCAGAAAGGAAGGGACUUUAAGAGAUCUUACAACCAACCAAUGAAAACCCUUCUGAUGGUUUUGCUAAGCUUUUUCUUGACCCCAAGGGGACUAGGUAAAUUAAGUCAAUCCGAUGUUCAUCCUCAUCUCAUUUUACUAUCUCCUGAAUGACACUUAGAUUACACUACUUAGAAUAACUCACUUACACGGUUUUACAAAUCCUCUGUAAUUUAUACAAGCUUGAAGGAUGUCUAGGAAAUUCAGGGCCAGUCUAUUCUACAUUUCUUUCAGGUAAUUACAUCAGUUCUUUGGAAACACUGACAUCACUGCAGAUUGAUUGCUCAGAGAUACUGGUAUAAGGAGAGGCAUUGAAGGAACUGGAAGAGGAAUAUCCUGCAUUUGCCUUUGAGGCCACAAAAACAGCAGCGGGAAGGAAGAAUGUCACAUGAAAGCACGUCUCCUCCAGACAUCAUCUAUCCAGAUGACAAAAGAAAUUUAAAAUAAAUGUUUAUACCACAGGAAACAACAGGAAAACAGGAACUCUGCUGCAUAAUGUCAGGGAAGCAAAUGCACAUUUCAGAAGAAGGCUCUAAUUACAGGUUUUUAGCUAUUUGAAGUCACCUUAAGCUUGUAGCGUAGCAGAAGCAGAGGAUUACAUAGUUGUCAGUUCAAAAGAUACAUUGCAUCUAGGCUUUUUGUUUUGCUUUCUCUGCUUCUUUAGAGUGUGCCAGCAGCUACCUAGUGUGUCUACAAAUAAAGUAGUUUUUCCUGGCACCUUUAUCCAAGUUAGACGUUUUGAAUGGCUUUCAGAUGCAUAGCUUAGAUGUGCUUUAAGUGCCAACAACCAUAUCCAUACUCCAAACUUUUGCUGCUUCUUUAAUGUUAUCUUCUCACAGAAGUUUCCACUCCCAUCAUGCUCAUGACUAGAACUAUACUCUUCUAGUAUGAAAUUCCCUGAUGUAUGCAUGUGCAUUUACUGUAUAUUACUUUACUUUAUCAAAGUCUAAUUUUUUAAUACUCGCUUUUUCAGCACAAUAGCUGAGCAGGCUGUUUAUUUCGAAGACCCCCCCAAGUAUAAUCAGAGCUUUUUUUUUUUUUUUUUUACUUAAAUGGUAUUUGGGCACUCAGAAAGCACACCACUCCCAUCAAAAUUAAUUCAAAGUAGGCACAGCACCGAUGUCUAGACAGUUUAAAUGCCAGUGUAUUUUUUUCUUGUAAAUUAAGCUUUUCUAAAGGCCUACAGACAGAAAAAAGUUCCUGAAGAGUCUCCCUCCUUGCCUGUUCACUUCAGCAUUAACCAUUUGUGUUCACCAACAGGUCCAUCAUUCCAGGAUGGAGUAACUGCUGGGAGCUGUAACAGCCUGAGGUGAGACAGUCUGGUAAACCUGACCAAUGCUACCGAUGCCAAAUUGCUGGGGGGGUGGGGGGGGGGGGCGGGGGGGAAGUAAUUUCUUUAGAUAUAUUAUGCUGCCAUAGUCAAGCCAGGUUCAUAUUUUUCUUAAAAAGGCUUUUCAUAUGGUAAGAACUACUCAAGAAAGAGGAACAAGAUGAUACAGAGAAUUAGUAACAAAUGACCCAAAAUGUGAAGUAAGUGACAUAAACCUCUUCGAACUAACCCUUUUAAUGUUCAGCCUCUGAGCCAGCUUCUCUUCAUCCAGACAGAAAAGGUCUGAAGGAGGCAAUGCUCCUUCUCCUGCCAGCACACAAAGUUGGGUGUCACCUUCAUACCCCUGGCAUCCUGAGUCCGUGACAGCCUAUGAUUUCCUCUUUCAGGUCCCCAGGGGUGCCAAACAGGAUGCAAGAGUCCUGCUUUGUGUGGGCAGGGACAUCCGAGUGUGUACACCUGGAGCGUGUACUGCUCUGAAAGUCAGACUGCUUCUGUCAGCACAUAUUCAAAGUGAACAGAUGAAUCUGUGUGUGUCAGUAUUUUAUACAUCAAGGCAGGAAGCAGGAAAUUCUGCCUCAGAAGUAGAUCUGUCAAUAUUUCCUGAAAUCUUUGGCUAUAAUGAAGUCUUGUACUUGUCCUGGGUUUUCAGAGGCCACUAGUAAUUUGUCCCUUUGAACUAAAAAGAAGGCAAGAAUUACAUUGUUAGACUUUAAAUGGAUUUUUUUUCUCUUUUUGUUCUUUGGAAGUUUUAUUACAGAACCUCUCUCCUUUUCUACCAUCUGACUAACAGGAAAUCAAAGGAUUCUAAAAUGAAAAACAUCUGAUUGUAGGAAUGAAGCAAUUAGUUUGCAUCGAUAACGACAGCAUAUUAUUACUGACAAAAGUAUGUCUGCAACCUUGGAUCCUUAAAUAGAACAUUGAAAAACAAAUGGACGCCACUCAGGGCUAAGAUCCAUGCCAGCUUAAUGCAAGAAAGCAAUGGCAAGCUAACUGAUACUAGCUUUACUUAUUACGCUAGUUUAACAUACUUGCUCUUUGCCCUUGGAACAUUUUAUUGCAUAUUUUAAUUACAUCACAAGUAAACACUUCAAAAGUGUUUUAAAAAGUGGAAAUAAUCAGGUAAAGGAACUGUCAUGUCUAUUAGGCUUAAUAUUUUCAUUUAAUGGUAUGGCAUAACCAGGAGGCCACCUUGUCUUGCACAUGAAAUACAUAAAAAUAGCAAUGUUAUUUGCUAUAAUGGGCUGUAGAACAUACUAAAUAUCUUCCAACAAAGAAACCAUUAGAAGCCAUUAAUAUGGAUUUUGAGAAACAUUGUUAGUUGUAGACUUAAUGAAACAUUUUGAAAUUAUGUUGGGGAGGUCAUUAGAAUUAAGGCUGUUUUAGACUUGUGUGGCAGCAGAGUUAUGAGGUGGUUCUGGGCCUCACUUCUCUUUGUGCAAGGCUGCUGAGCUCCAGUUUCAGAGUCAAAGUUAAAAAAAAAAAGCAAGCUAAUUCUUGCCAUGCUGACUCUCAUAAGUCUCUGGAUAAGUCUUACAUGAUCUUUGACAUAGGAAUUAGGCUGCAAAACUCUCACACAGAAGCCAAGAAUCAAAACUGUGUUUUGCUUGGAAUUGUUUUUCAGCUCCCAGGAAUUUAUAAGGGUUCAUACACAAGAGUAACAAAACAGCAGUGGGAGCUCUGCAGUUAAGUCACUUUCCUUAGCAAACCAGUGAGAAAUAACAGAGUGGCCUUGGUCUUUGAUGUUUCAAUAAAACCUCCAAAAACAUUCCCUCUGGCCAUAUUAAGUGGCCUUGGUAUAAUCGAGGCCCAAUAAUAUCUGUUUGUUUAACCAACAUUAUGAGAGAUCUCCAUGCGACAGGCCAAAAUAUGUUGGUCUGCUCAGCUGAAUUCAUUACUGGGAAUAAGUAGCAAUAGAGUUGAUGGAAAUUUUUUUACAUGUACAGGGGAAGCGUAGGAAAAAGAGAGGAGAUCAUUUUAUUCUUUGCCUUGAUACAUCAUCUACUCCAUCACUUUUUUCCUCAUCUAAUAGAGUAGCAUCUCUGCUUUCCUAAUGGAGUAACUCAGGGCUCUCUCCUGUCACAAGACCGGUGAUUCUGAGUUUCUCCUCUGUCACCUAUCACUCUAGAAUAUACAGUAAUGUAACAUAUAAAUAUAAUGAUAGAUAAUAAUAUGGAGUAGAAUAUAUAUAUAUGCAUAAAAUCCAAGUUUUCAGUCCUGUCUAAUUAUGACUUCAUCCAAAUUACUUGAGACCAUUUUCCUGGACACCAUGGAUAUCCCAUCCUCUCCCCCACCUAAUAAUUUCCUCUUGACUGGCACUUGGUUUUUCUCUUCAAACUUGGCAGAGAUUGCCAGGCUCUUUUCCUUCAGACCAGCUUUCACACUGGGCUCUAGCACCUUCUGGAAGAGGAAGGGCUGGGAAGGCGACAAACAAAGCUGGGCCAGACCUCUCCCACCACCUCUGGUAUCUGUAGGGGUGUGCACCAAAUGUAACAGCUGUAGGAAAGGAAAAGGAAAAGAAAGGCACGGAGGAAAGAGAGAGAUAAGGAGAAGCUGUUGUGCAAUGGAUCACAGGAUGUAAACAUGCAGGUGUGCAAACUGCUAAGACUAAGUGCUUGAAGGCAAGAGGACUAGUUGGAGGCAUCGGGAUAAAACUGGGCUGAGUGAAGUGUCAUCUCUGCACAGAGACCUAACUGAACAGCUCUAUAUAAAAAUAACAACCUGCCUUGCCAGCCACAUUCUCCCUUUGGCCCCCAGCUGUUUCCACUUCCUUAACAUAUGUUGAACCAAAUAAAGUGUUUACUAAUUUC